AUUGAACGCUAGCGGGAUGCCUUACACAUGCAAGUCGAACGGAGUGGCGAACGGGUGAGUAAUGUAUCGGAACGUGCCCAGUAGCGGGGGAUAGCUACGCGAAAGCGUAGCUAAUACCGCAUACUAUUGGAGCGGCCGAUAGCGGAUUCGCUAGUUGGUGGGGUAACGGCUCACAAAGGCGAGGAGCCGUAGCUGGUUUGAGGGGACGACCCGCCAAACUGGGACUGAGACACGGCCCAGACUCCUACGGGAGGCAGCAGUGGGGAAGUUUGGACAAUGGGGGAAACCCUGAGCCAGCCAUCCCGGGUGUGCGAUGAAGGCCUUCGGGUUGUAAAGCACUUUUGGCAGGAAAGCGGUACCUGCAGAAUAAGCACCGGCUAACUACGUGCCAGCAGCCGCGGUAAUAC
rnacentral:rRNA from 1 species